AGAGAGAGACAUGCGCGCAUAUCAAUAAGCGGAGGAAAAGAAACUAACAAGGAUUCCCUUAGUAACGGCGAGUGAAGCGGGAAGAGCUCAAAUUUGAAAUCUUCAAGGUUUUACCUUGACGAAUUGUAGUUUAAAGAAGUGUUUUCUGCUGAAGUUUUGGUAAAAGUUCUUUGGAAUAGGACAUCAUAGAGGGUGAGAAUCCCGUAUUUGACCAUUAUUUUCAGCUUUGUGAUACACUUUCAAAGAGUCGGAUUGUUUGGGAAUGCAGUCCAAAAUGAGGUGGUAAAUUUCAUCUAAAGCUAAAUAUUGGCGAGAGACCGAUAGCGAACAAGUACCGUGAGGGAAAGAUGAAAAGGAACUUUGAAAAGAGAGUUAAACAGUACGUGAAAUUGUCAAAAGGGAAGCGUUUGACACCAGUGUUGUUUUCUCGAAAAUCAAUUAAAAAUGGCUCGACUUUUGUAUUGUUGAGACCUUAAAAGCUCACUGUACAUUUUUCGUGUCUUUUUUAAUGCACUUUUCGUUUAACAAGUCAACAUCAGUUUCUUUUGUUGUAAAAGGGUCAUUGGAAGGUGGCUUUCUUUUCGGAGAAAGUGUUUAUAGCCUUUGGCCUCUGCAAUCGGAAGAGACUGAGGUCUGCAGCGUAGACUCUUCGGGGUUAGAUACAUUUGUGCUAAGUUAUAGCUUUUUAUAGACAACUUGUUGACUAUAAUUAGUCUUGUAGCUUACUCGCUUAUGCUAUUUUACCUACGCUUAGGAUGUUGAAGAUGUAGCACAUCAU
rnacentral:rRNA from 1 species